UACUCAGGGUCCUGCAUGCACACAUCUGAUGGAGUUAGCCCCACUGUUGACCCAACCCCCAUGGUGGAUCAUCUGGUCAUUUCUAACCCCUUUGAUGAUUUCGGAGUCCCUAAGGUGGGGGACGCAGGCCCUCCAUUCCUUGCCAGUCCUGUGCCCCUUGGAGGCUUUGGUGAAUAGGGGGGCACAGCAGGCCCGGUAUCCCCAGGCCAUAGCACUAGAGGACUAUCCCAGCCACUUUGUCGGCAGUCCCUUCCUUUUCCUCCCAACUCUAUGGGUCCAGCUUUUAAUAUGCCUCCUCAGGGCCCUGGCUAUCCACCCCUGGGAACACAUAAACUUUUCCAGUCAACCCUUCAACCAGUCUCUGAGCCAAAACUUUAGCCCACCUGGUAGACAGGUAAUUCGAGGCCCAGUUGGGGGAUUUGAUCCCUUGGUCUGACCCACCAUGGUCGCCUCCUAGAGGGGAGCUGGGUCCUCUUCCUCUCCACCAAUGCCUUACCCAACCAGGAGCACCUUUUGUUCAUUCUCUUCAUAGACCUGGUCAGGGACUCCCCAGCCUGCCUCCCAACACGAGUCCCUUCCCUGGUCCAGACCCUGGUUUUCCUGACCCUGGUGGUGAGGAUGGUGAAAGGCCCUUGAAUCCACCUGCCCCCACUGCUUUUCCCCACUGCUGCUGUUAAUGGGAAUCAGCCCAGUUCCCUGCCCGCCCCCCAGCAGCAGUGGUAAGGUGGGGGCACUCCAGAUGCCAACACUCUGGCACCCAACCCCCCCCCCACCCCCCUGGUAAGGCAGGUGAAGGCUCAGGGCCUCAGCCUUGCCCAGGCCUAGCGUACACUUGCGGUGCCUGUGGAGCAAGGUGAGCAAUGGCCAGGACGCCAUUUUGUGUGAGGCUUCCUGCCAGAAGUGGUUUCACCACAGUUGCACCUUCAUGACCAAGAGUUCCUACAGCCUGCUGACCACCAAGGCCUCUGCUGUCUGGGCCUGUGAUCUUUGACACAAGACCAAGGACAUCCAGUCUGUCUAUAUAGGAGAGAGCAUGGGCCAGGUGGUGGCUGCUAAUGUUGGGUGA
rnacentral:lncRNA from 1 species